UACGGGGGAGCAAGCGUUGUUCGGAUUUACUGGGCGUAAAGGGCGCGUAGGCGGCGCAACAAGUCACUUGUGAAAUCUCCGGGCUUAACCCGGAGCGGUCAAGUGAUACUGUCGUGCUAGAGUGCGGAAGGGGCUACUGGAAUUCUCGGUGUAGCGGUGAAAUGCGUAGAGAUCAUGAGGAAGACCAGUGGCGAAGGCGGGUCUGCUGGACGA
rnacentral:rRNA from 1 species